rnacentral:rRNA from 1 species
AUGAAAAUCCAGGAAAAACAACUAACUAUAGUAUUCUUAUAUAAAGGGCCACAUAAAAGGCUGGGCCAGGCCCAGCCCGUGGCAACGCACAGGCGACGGCCCACCUCCACCACGCGACGGCCCACAUCCCCCGGGCGACGGCGCUCCUACCCCGGCCGACGGCCCACCUCCCUCGCCUCCCACAAAACCUAUCGCCACCUACCCCUCGCAACCUUAUCCCAUUCACUCCUCACUCCACUCUCUUCAACUCCCCUUUCCCCUCCGCCGCCGCAUCGCGCGCGCGUCCACGAGACGCCGGCCGCGCGCGUCCACGAGCCGCCGGACGCGCUCCUCCGCCCACUGUUGCCGCAUCAGGCCCUCACCUAUCCUCUCCACCCUCGCCAGUCGCCACAUCUAGCCCGCUCACCUCCCCCUGCCGCAUCGUCGCACACGUCGCCUAGCCCCCAACGUCCACGACUCCGCCAGCCGACCACCGCAGCAGUCUCCGGUGACCCGUGUGCGGCCGCAGGUGACGCACACAUCGAGCAACAUCGACCGGGCACGGGUGCUGGAUCUGGUCGCCGUUCGGAGAGCAUGCUUCGGCGGGAUUGGCAGGCCUGUGGCCAGGGUUGCGCUCUAGAGCCACGAUGUCGAGCUUGUCGCCGUCAAAGACCCCUUCAUCACCACCGACUACAUGGUUUCGUCCGGAUCGGCAGGCUUGUGGCCAGGGUUGCUCUCCAGAGCCCCGAUGUCGGGCUGGUCGCCGUCAACGACCCCUUCAUGAGCACUGACUACAUGGGUGGUGCCAAUAAGGUCAUCAUUUCUGCUCCCAGCAAGGAUGCUCCCAUGUUUGUCUGUGGUGUCAAUGAGAAGGAAUACAAAUCUGACAUCGACAUUGUCUCCAACGCUAGCUGCACCACUAACUACCUUGCUCCUCUUGGUAAGGUUAUCAAUGACAGGUUUGGCAUCGUUGAGGGUUUGAUGACAACAGUUCAUGCCAUGACUGCAACCCAGAAGACUGUUGAAUGUCCUUCCAGCAAGGACUGGAUAGGGGGAAGGGCUGCCAGCUUCAACAUCAUUCCGAGCAGCACUGGUGUCACAAAGAUAGAUCCAGAAAUUUUCAUACCUAGAGGACGAUGCCUUCUUGGUGCUCCUUGCUUACAGCAGGUACACCUCCGGAAUUUGUCCUCCAAGUCUGGGUAUUUUGAUGCUUUUCUAUAUGUGAUGGGUGAAGGGAAAGAAUCAUAA